rnacentral:rRNA from 1 species
AUUGAACGCUGGCGGCAUGCCUUACACAUGCAAGUCGAACGGUAACAGGUCUUCGGAUGCUGACGAGUGGCGAACGGGUGAGUAAUACAUCGGAACGUGCCUAGUAGUGGGGGAUAACUACUCGAAAGAGUGGCUAAUACCGCAUGGGAUCUACGGAUGAAAGCAGGGGAUCGCAAGACCUUGUGCUACUAGAGCGGCCGAUGGCAGAUUAGGUAGUUGGUGGGAUAAAAGCUUACCAAGCCGACGAUCUGUAGCUGGUCUGAGAGGACGAUCAGCCACACUGGGACUGAGACACGGCCCAGACUCCUACGGGAGGCAGCAGUGGGGAAUUUUGGACAAUGGGCGCAAGCCUGAUCCAGCAAUGCCGCGUGCAGGAUGAAGGCCUUCGGGUUGUAAACUGCUUUUGUACGGAACGAAAAGCCUUGGGUUAAUACCCUGGGGUCAUGACGGUACCGUAAGAAUAAGCACCGGCUAACUACGUGCCAGCAGCCGCAGUAAUAC